rnacentral:rRNA from 1 species
GACGAACGCUGGCGGCGUGCUUAACACAUGCAAGUCGAACGGAAAGGCCCUUCGGGGUACUCGAGUGGCGAACGGGUGAGUAACACGUGGGUGAUCUGCCCUGCACUUUGGGAUAGGCCUGGGAAACUGGGUCUAAUACCGAAUAGGACCACGCGCUUCAUGGUGUGUGGUGGAAAGCUUUUGCGGUGUGGGAUGGGCCCGCGGCCUAUCAGCUUGUUGGUGGGGUAAUGGCCUACCAAGGCGACGACGGGUAGCCGGCCUGAGAGGGUGACCGGCCACACUGGGACUGAGAUACGGCCCAGACUCCUACGGGAGGCAGCAGUGGGGAAUAUUGCACAAUGGGCGCAAGCCUGAUGCAGUGACGCCGCGUGAGGGAUGACGGCCUUCGGGUUGUAAACCUCUUUCAAUAGGGACGAAGCGCAAGUGACGGUACCUAUAGAAGAAGCACCGGCCAACUACGUG